ensembl:lncRNA
AUGGAGUUGUUCAUCUUCAUAGUGUUUCAGCUCCUGAUGGAGGUUCAGUCUUACAAUCUUCCUCAGGCCAAGUUGAGAGUGUCUGCUUCAGUUAUUCUGGAAACAGACACAGUUGAGCUUAGCUGUGAGAAUACUGAAGAUCUGAAGAUGGAGAAGUGUUACUUCAACAUAAAUGGAAGAGAAAGUAACUCAAAACAGAGCUCAUCAUGUCAGCUCUCACUCACUGGAUCUCAGAUCAGUGUUUGGUCUGGAGGUCAGAGUUCAUCUGUGAGAAUAAGCUGCUUCUACACUGUGACUUUGUCACAAGUUCAAAAACCAUCUGCUCACUCUGAUCCAGUGACAGUAACAGUCCAGAGUGAGUUUGUUAAUAUACUCAUGUGAACCAAUAUAGAGGUGAUGUCAAGUUACAUCACCAGUAUGUGUCAUAUGCUAUUUUUCAUAUUUGAAUUACUUCGACAAACAAACUUUGCUAUAAAGAUUGCAAAUCAUGCAAAUUUACCCUGAUAAUGUAAUAAUAUAAAAAAUAUAUAUAAUAAAUAAUGUAAACUGACUCCCUGUAAUUCUGAU